CCCCAAGCAUGCAUUACACCACCUGGGAAUGCAUGGGCAAAGGUGUCAUCCUAGAUUAACAAGCACUGCUGCUAGCUUAGGAGCUGGUCCAGACAUGAGACGCAAGGUCCCUUUUGUUUGAGUGUGGAGGUUAUGGUGGAUCAAGGCAAUGACAGUGACCAAGAGGCAACGGUAUAAGAAGGAGCCUCACGAAUGUCUAGGAGAGAAGACACAGCAAGGGGGAGAAGCGAUUCUAACUCUGUGACUAUGAGU
rnacentral:lncRNA from 1 species